GUCAUUUUCCUUGGCGCUGAUUGGCUGGAUUAGCGGAAGAUCGUGGAGGUUAGCUUAAGUGGUAGUGCUAAGAAGGUUUCCAUUUUGCCAGGUUAAAUAGCUUCAUGACCGGCACAUGACUUUUACUGGACUGCAGAAGCACGUGCCUCAUCUUCCUGCACACAAGUCUGGGUUUAGAGGAAAGUGAGUUUCUGUCCCAGUCAAGGAUUUUCCUGCAUUUAUUUCCAUCCAUUUUUCAUCGACUCUGACCAGAAAAGCAUUCCUGCAACAUGAUGUUGCUACCACUGUUGGUAUGUUUAGUGCUAGUUUUUUUCCACACCGUUAGCAUGUAGUUUCAUCUGACCAGACACCUUCUUUUCACCACUUUAUUCCUUAGCCUGUCACAAUAAAUCAAUUAAUGCACUGAAUGUAUUUUGAAAAAUACUGCAAACGU